rnacentral:rRNA from 1 species
UGGAUACGAGACGCUAAGGCGUCGAAGUAGUGUAUGUCAUACUUCCAAGAAAAGCUUGCACUGUCAUAGAUAAAAAACGCCUGUACCAUAACCGACACAGGUGGGUAGGUAGAGUAUACUAAGGGGCGCGAGAUAACUCUCUCUAAGGAACUCGGCAAAAUAACUCCGUAACUUCGGGAGAAGGAGUGCCUUAUUCGUAAGGUUGCAAUAACAAGAUCCAAGCAACUGUUUAUCAAAAACACAGGUCUCCGCUAAGUCGUAAGACGAUGUAUGGGGGCUGACGCCUGCCCAGUGCCAGAAGGUUAAAGAAGUUGGUUAGCAAUUGCGAAGCUGAUAACUGAAGCCCUGGUGAACGGCGGCCGUAACUAUAACGGUCCUAAGGUAGCGAAAUUCCUUGUCGGGUAAGUUCCGACCCGCACGAAAGGCGUAAUGAUUUGGAUACUGUCUCGGAGAGGGGCUCGGUGAAAUAGACUUGUCUGUGAAGAUGCGGACUACCUGCACCAGGACAGAAAGACCCUAUGAAGCUUUACUGUAACUUGAAAUUGAAAUUGGACUUUAUUCGCGCAGUAUAGGUGGGAGGCGUUGAUUAUAAUCUUGUGGGAUUAUUGGAGCCAUCAGUGAGAUACCACUCUUGUAAUGUUAGAUUUCUAACUUUGAAUCAUUAUCUGGUCAAAGAACAGUUUCAGGCGGGCAGUUUGACUGGGGCGGUCGCCUCCUAAACGGUAACGGAGGCGUACAAAGGUUUCCUCUGAACGGUUAGAAAUCGUAUCUAGAGUGUAAAGGCAUAAGGAAGCUUGACUGUGAGACCUACAAGUCGAGCAGGGACGAAAGUCGGUCUUAGUGAUCUGACGGUACUGAGUGGAAAGGCCGUCACUCAACGGAUAAAAGUUACUCUAGGAUAACAGGCUGAUCUCCCCCAAGAGUUCACAUCGACGGGGAGGUUUGCCACCUCGAUGUCGGCUCAUCGCAUCCUGGGGCGGUAGUACGUCCCAAGGGUUGGGCUGUUCGCCCAUGAAAGCGGUACGCGAGCUGGGUUCAGAACGUCGUGAGACAGUUCGGUCCAUAUCCGGUGUAGGCGCUAGAAUAUUGAGAGGAGCCUUCUUUAGUACGAGAGGACCGAGAAGGACAUACCUCUGGUGUACCAGUUAUCGUGCCAACGGUAAACGCUGGGUAGCUAUGUAUGGAGUGGAUAACCGCUGAAAGCAUCUAAGUGGGAAGCCCACCUCAAGAUAAGUAUUCUCAUC